rnacentral:lncRNA from 1 species
AUCAAUUUGAUAAGGUUGAGGAAUCCAACAUGGGCAGUGAAAGCGAUAAUAUGGAGUAUGAGGAGGAGGAUGAAAGGGAGGAUGAUGAGGAAUCAGAAGAAGACAGUAAUAAGAUGGCUAAUUAUAAAGUAGAGUUUCAGCGACAGAACACCUCUAAUGGGGGAGGAAAUGGGGCACCCUCUUUUUUAGCCAUGGUUCAGUGACAAUAUACACAUAUUACUGGCUGGUGGCUGAGAUUUCUUCUUGAACAAAAUUUCCUUGAUCACCAGUAUGUACCAUUUGUACGUACCUAGCUAGCUAUAUGUCCAGAAGCUCUCAGCAAAAG